rnacentral:misc_RNA from 1 species
AUAUUAAUAAUAAUAUCUUCAUUAAUCAUUUUAUAGUAAUUUUUAAAUAUAAUUUUAUUAAAUUUUUAAUAUAAAUUAAUUAUCAAUUAAUGAUAAUAAUAAUUAUUAGUUAUAUUCAAUAAUAAAAUCCAAUAGGUUGCUAUUUUUCUUGAUUUUAUGAAUCCAAGUUCUUUUUGAGCCAUAUGUGCAAUCCUUGGAUAUUCUUGCUGGAAAGAAUGGAGUUGGACCUGCGAAAGUAACCAGACUAAUGUUUAAGAUUAUUUUCAAGUUGUUAAGGAUUGUUAAGAACAUUGGGCUUGGAGGUAAAAUAAUUUGAAGGAGAAGGUGUACUGAUGCUAUCUGAUCAAUUUGGAGCCAAAAGCAAGAGCUAUGAGGAUCUUGAAAUGAUAACAAACUAGAAUCUGAUGCAGGACAAUAGAAUUUACUUAGUCAUGUGCGACACAAACUUUUUUCAUAACAUGCGAUCCGAUAAUUGUUACUCUGAUCGUAGUGUGGUUCUGGUUCAAUGUGUACCACGUAAAGUUGCAUGUAGUUGUAAUUUGUAUUAUUAUUAGGAGUUGCGUGGAAAAUAAUUUGUGAAAAAUUUUUUUAUUAACUCGUUUUAAUUUGCAAAGUAAAAAUUUGAAUUUUUUCGGCAAAAUAUUUAGUUUCUUAAUUUAAUCUGUUUUUAAUUUUUUGAGUGAAAUUUAUUUAUUUAUUUGCUAACUUUUAAUAUUUUUGGCUUAUUGACAAUGCAGUUUUAGGUGUAUUAUAUCUUUUGUAAUCUGAAUAUGCUGUGAAAAAUAUGGUUCGAAUCUUCUUUAACCGUUAAAAAUAUUCAAUCUAAAUUAAUUUCCAAAGAAGUAAAAACCUAUUCUUCUUUUUCUUAUUAUUUU